rnacentral:rRNA from 1 species
AACGCGAAGAACCUUACCAAGGCUUGACAUGUAUGGAUUAGUUGGGUGAAAGCCCAAUGACGCUCGCAAGAGUGGAACAUACACAGGUGCUGCAUGGCUGUCGUCAGCUCGUGCUGUGAAGUGUCGCGUUAAGUCGCUUAACGAGCGAAACCCUUAUCUUUAGUUGCCAACAGGUGAAGCUGGGAACUCUAAAGAGACUGCCGGUGUUAAACCGGAGGAAGGUGGGGAUGACGUCAAGUCCUCAUGGCCUUUAUGCCUUGGGUUGCACACGUGCUACAAUGGUAUGUACAAAGCGACGCAAGCCAGCGAUGGCAAGCAAAUCGCCUAAAGCAUGCCCCAGUUCAGAUUGCAGGCUGCAACUCGCCUGCAUGAAGUUGGAAUCGCUAGUAAUCGCGGAUCAGCUACGCCGCGGUGAAUAUGUUCCCGGGCCUUGUACACACCGCGCAUA